rnacentral:lncRNA from 1 species
CAUCAUGCAUGUCCAAGGUGGUGGCUAGGGAGUUGUAUGAUCUCUAUAAGGAUAAGCCAGUUAGAAGGAUGGAUGGCUUUUGGAUCUGCAGGCUUGAAGUCUAUCUGAGAAUCGGUUUGUUCCUUUGGAAGGUCGUCUGAAAAUGCCUUUCGACUGGGGCAUUACUGAGAGCUCGGAGGAUAGAUAUCCAAUUUAUGCAUCUCGAGUGUGACUUGAAUGA